UUUACCUCAAAUGAUUAAUUAUCAGUCUGCAUAUAGCAUUGUCAAUAAGCCCGCAUACAUAUAUAUGUAUUUAAUUGGAAUAUCAGCAGAUCAGCUGGCGCUUAUGUCAAUCUGCGCCACUUAAUUGCUGCUUAUCCACACAAAGUCCAGUUGGCUGCUUAAUUCUACAGCAGAGUGACACGCCAAAUAAAUAGCAGAGAUACCGAACAUCUGGUGAACCAAUUUCAGCCUCCAAAAUAUUCUCUAUACAGAAUUCAUUUCUGGAUCGUCCGCAAUCGUCCGCCGGUGCAUAGGCAAAUUGACUCACAAAAGUGUAUAUUCGAAAUCUAUACAUAGACGUACUCACGUACAACGGCAACUAACUCGUCAAACACCUGCUGCCGACAUUGGAAAAAGUAGAACUUCUUGAAGAACACGGUCUUCAUUCACCAAAUUGCAGCUUUCGAAGAAGCCCCAUAUGCUGUGAAAACGGCAACAGCAGUGCAAUAUAUGUUUCUGUGCCGAGUAUAGUCUUUGUAAAAAAAAUUAAAAUGAUGAGAAAGAAAUAGCUUUCUAAACGUGAAUGAACCGAACGACCGGCCUCGGCAGAUUAUGGAGAAACUAUGUGUGUUUUUCUUCAGCAAAUAUGUUAAGAUUUGGAAACCACUUUCACCACAACCACGACUGAUGUACACAACAUAGUCAAAGAGCAUCUUGUGCAAUGUCAUCUGACAUCAGCAGCACAGUCGUCCCAGUAAGAGAAAGCAAGAGGUGGAGUCUACGUUCCAUGUCCAGUAGCCAUAUAUAAAUUCCCUCAUACGUACACUUUUGGCGCAAAGUGAAUUAAAGCGUUAGUUGAGUUCAGCCCGCACAAGUGACCACAUCCUUCUUAUAAAUAACAUGAAGGUGCUUAUCGUAUCAGCUUUGUUGGUGUUGUUGGUGGUGGCGGUGUCAGGUCAAGUACAGCAGAUCUUAUUUCCUGAUCAUCCGGCAACAGCACCUUUCCUGGAAAAUAACCGUCGUGAGCCGGCCUAUCAGCAUAAUGUUGCCUACCAUCCGGAACACAGGCCGCCGACAAUGCCAAAAAUCCUCGUCUUCAUGUCGAAGAUAAGGAAAAUGUUUCUGAAUUGAACGGCGGAUUGUGUAAUAUGUUGCCGGAAGAGUCAAGUUUUAAUCAGCAUCCAAGUAUUCAUUGUUAUUCAAAUAUUUCUUAUAUUGACUGUUGAGCGCGGUGGCUCCGUAAACGAAAUCAAAAACGAACGCCACUAUACACAUGUAUACAAACUAAUUUAUAUUGGAAAAUCCAAACUAAUCAUUGUGUUAUUAUUAAAAUAGUUUCGCAUCUUUUGGCGUUAACUUUUUUUUUUUUUUUGCUGGACAUUGCACUCCAGUUUGAAAGUUGCGUCAUUAUUUUGGGUGCAGGAAAAUCCAGAGGAAAACAAUAUAUAAGGACCAAUACAGCGA